rnacentral:rRNA from 1 species
ACGCUGGCGGCGUGCUUAACACAUGCAAGUCGAACGGUAAGGCCUUCGGGGUACACGAGUGGCGAACGGGUGAGUAACACGUGGGUGAUCUGCCCUGCACUUCGGGAUAAGCCUGGGAAACUGGGUCUAAUACCAGAUAGGACCAUGGACUUCACGGUUUGUGGUGGAAAGCUUUUGCGGUGUGGGAUGGGCCCGCGGCCUAUCAGCUUGUUGGUGGGGUAAUGGCCUACCAAGGCGACGACGGGUAGCCGGCCUGAGAGGGUGUCCGGCCACACUGGGACUGAGAUACGGCCCAGACUCCUACGGGAGGCAGCAGUGGGGAAUAUUGCACAAUGGGCGCAAGCCUGAUGCAGCGACGCCGCGUGAGGGAUGACGGCCUUCGGGUUGUAAACCUCUUUCAAUAGGGACGAAGCGCAAGUGACGGUACCUAUAGAAGAAGCACCGGCCAACUACGUG